AUGCCCUUUGGCCUUGCUAAUGCACCUGGGACGUUUCAAGCACUAAUGAACAGCAUCUUUGGCCCUUAUCUCAGAAAGUUUGUCUUGGUUUUCUUUGACGACAUAUUAAUCUUCGGUAAGUCACUUACUGAACACAUAGCCCACUUGCAAAUAGUGUUGCAGUUACUCAAGGAACAUCAACUCUUUGCAAAAAUGUCAAAGUGUGUGUUUGGAGUGCAACAAGUUGAGUAUUUGGGCCACAUCAUCACUGGAGAGGCUGUUUCCACUGAUCCAGCCAAGGUAGCGGCAGUUGCUGACUGGCCAUUACCUACUACUCCAACACAACUUCGAGGAUUUCUGGGUUUAUGUGGCUAUUACAGAAGAUUUGUCAAAAAAAAUUGGAACCAUUGCCAGGCCACUGCAUGA
rnacentral:rRNA from 1 species